rnacentral:rRNA from 1 species
AUGGCUCAGGAUGAACGCUGGCGGCGUGCUUAACACAUGCAAGUCGAACGAGGCUAUACGGCGGAAGUUUCGGAUGGAGGCGGUAUAGACCGAGUGGCGGACGGGUGAGUAACGCGUGGGGAACCUGCCCAUUCCGGGGGAUACCAGUUGGAAACGACUGUUAAUACCGCAUAAGCGCACGGAAGGACAUCCUUCAGUGUGAAAAAACUGAGGUGGAAUGGGAUGGCCCCGCGUCUGAUUAGCCAGUUGGCAGGGUAACGGCCUACCAAAGCGACGAUCAGUAGCCGGCCUGAGAGGGCGACCGGCCACAUUGGGACUGAGACACGGCCCAAACUCCUACGGGAGGCAGCAGUGGGGAAUAUUGCACAAUGGGGGAAACCCUGAUGCAAGCGACGCCGCGUGAGUGAAGAAGUAUUUCGGUAUGUAAAGCUCUAUCAGCAGGGAAGAAGAUGACGGUACCUGCACAAGAAGCCCCGGCUAACUACGUGCCAGCCGCCGC